GCCCCAGUGGCACAAUUGGUCAGCGCGCCGUACUUAUAAUGCGGAGGUUGUGAGUUCGAGCCUCACCUGGGGCA
rnacentral:tRNA from 1 species